CGGCCGUAACUAUAACGGUCCUAAGGUAGCGAAAUUCCUUGUCGGGUAAGUUCCGACCUGCACGAAUGGCGUAACGAUCUCCACACUGUCUCGGCCAGAGACUCGGUGAAAUUGCAGUCGCGGUGAAAAUUCCGUGUACCCGCAGAAAGACGGAAAGACCCUGUGCACCUUUACUAUAGCUUGACAUUGGAUUUUGGGCCUGCAUGUGUAGGAUAGGUGGGAGGCUGUGAACCCUGUACGCCAGUAUGGGGGGAGCCAUCCUUGAAAUACCACCCUUGCAUGUUUAAGAUCCUAACUUCUUCCGGUUAUCCCGGAGAAAGACAGUGUCUGGCGGGUAGUUUGACUGGGGCGGUCGCCUCCUAAAGUGUAACGGAGGCAUGCAAAGGUUCCCUCAGCCUGAUCGGAAACCAGGCGCUGAGUGCAAACGCAUAAGGGAGCUUGACUGUAAGAGAGACAUCUCGAACAGGAACGAAAGUUGGCGUUAGUGAUCCGGUGGUCCCGAAUGGAAGGGCCAUCGCUCAUUGGAUAAAAGGUACGCCGGGGAUAACAGGCUGAUCGCAUCCAAGAGUUCACAUCGACGAUGCGGUUUGGCACCUCGAUGUCGGCUCAUCACAUCCUGGGGCUGAAGCAGGUCCCAAGGGUACGGCUGUUCGCCGUUUAAAGUGGUACGCGAGCUGGGUUUAAAACGUCGUGAGACAGUUUGGUCCCUAUCUUCUGUGGGCGAAGGAGAAUUGAGAGGGCCUGUCCCUAGUACGAGAGGACCGGGAUGGACGCACCCCUGGUGAUCCUGUUGUCGCGCCAGCGGCAUAGCAGGGUAGCUAUGUGCGGAAGGGAUAACCGCUGAAAGCAUCUAAGCGGGAAGCCUGCCUCAAGAUAAGUUCUCCCCUCGAAAGAGCUGAAGGGCCCGGGUAGACUACCCGGUCGAUAGGCUGGAGGUGUAAGCGCGGCGACGUGCUCAGCUGACCAGUACUAAUAGCCCGAGCGGCUUAUUUUU
rnacentral:rRNA from 1 species